UGAAGAGUUUGAUCCUGGCUCAGAUUGAACGCUGGCGGCAUGCCUUACACAUGCAAGUCGAACGGCAGCACGGACUUCGGUCUGGUGGCGAGUGGCGAACGGGUGAGUAAUAUAUCGGAACAUACCCUAGAGUGGGGGAUAACGUAGCGAAAGUUACGCUAAUACCGCAUACGCACUAAGGUGGAAAGUGGGGGAUCGCAAGACCUCAUGCUCAUGGAGUGGCCGAUAUCUGAUUAGCUAGUUGGUGAGGUAAAGGCUCACCAAGGCGACGAUCAGUAGCUGGUUUGAGAGAACGACCAGCCACACUGGAACUGAGACACGGUCCAGACUCCUACGGGAGGCAGCAGUAGGGAAUCUUGCGCAAUGGGCGAAAGCCUGACGCAGCCAUGCCGCGUGAAUGAUGAAGGUCUUAGGAUUGUAAAAUUCUUUCACCGGGGACGAUAAUGACGGUACCCGGAGAAGAAGCCCCGGCUAACUUCGUGCCAGCAGCCGCGGUAAUACGAAGGGGGCUAGCGUUGCUCGGAAUUACUGGGCGUAAAGGGCGCGUAGGCGGAUAGUUUAGUCAGAGGUGAAAGCCCAGGGCUCAACCUUGGAAAUGCCUUUGAUACUGGCUAUCUUGAGUACGGGAGAGGUGUGUGGAACUCCGAGUGUAGAGGUGAAAUUCGUAGAUAUUCGGAAGAACACCGGUGGCGAAGGCGACACACUGGCCCGUUACUGACGCUGAGGCGCGAAAGCGUGGGGAGCAAACAGGAUUAGAUACCCUGGUAGUCCACGCCGUAAACGAUGAGUGCUAGUUGUCGGCAUGCAUGCAUGUCGGUGACGCAGCUAACGCAUUAAGCACUCCGCCUGGGGAGUACGGUCGCAAGAUUAAAACUCAAAGGAAUUGACGGGGACCCGCACAAGCGGUGGAUGAUGUGGAUUAAUUCGAUGCAACGCGAAAAACCUUACCUACCCUUGACAUGGUUGGAAUUCCGAAGAGAUUUGGAAGUGCUCGCAAGAGAACCAAUACACAGGUGCUGCAUGGCUGUCGUCAGCUCGUGUCGUGAGAUGUUGGGUUAAGUCCCGCAACGAGCGCAACCCUCACCAUUAGUUGCCAUCAUUCAGUUGGGCACUCUAAUGGGACCGCCGGUGGUAAGCCGGAGGAAGGUGGGGAUGACGUCAAGUCCUCAUGGCCCUUAUGGGUAGGGCUUCACACGUCAUACAAUGGUACAUACAGAGGGCUGCCAAACCGCGAGGUGGAGCUAAUCCCAGAAAGUGUAUCGUAGUCCGGAUUGUAGUCUGCAACUCGACUACAUGAAGUUGGAAUCGCUAGUAAUCGCGGAUCAGCAUGCCGCGGUGAAUACGUUCCCGGGCCUUGUACACACCGCCCGUCACACCAUGGGAGUGGGUUGCACCAGAAGUAGCUAGUCUAACCUUCGGGAGGACGGUUACCACGGUGUGAUUCAUGACUGGGGUGAAGUCGUAACAAG
rnacentral:rRNA from 13 species